UAACCUAAUCUUCUUUCCGUCUUUGUGAAGAGCAACGUGAUUUGGGCAAAGAUGGCUCAGGACGUCGAAAUGAAAGAUAACCACACCCCUUCUCAAUCCACGAUGCAGCGUGCGUGAAUCUCGACCUGGGUUUCGAAUUUUGAAUGCUUCCACUCCCAAAUUUCACACCUUUUUUGGUUUUCUUCUUCUUUGAUUUAUUUCCAGAUUUGAAGGAGAUAGCAGACUUGAUCGAUACUGGCUCGUAUACGAAGGAAGUCCGCCGUAUUGCUCGUGCUGUGCGGCUAACUAUUGGUCUCAGGCG
rnacentral:lncRNA from 1 species